rnacentral:RNase_P_RNA from 1 species
GGAGUCGGCCAGGCAAUCGCUGUACCUUGGUGCAGAGGAAAGUCCGGGCUCCAGAGGGCGAGGUGCCAGGUAACACCUGGGGGGCGUGAGCCUACGGAAAGUGCAACAGAGAGCAGACCGCCUAAGCGCUUCGGCGCCGGCAAGGGUGAAACGGUGCGGUAAGAGCGCACCGCGCGGGUGGCAACAUUCCGCGG